rnacentral:rRNA from 1 species
AGCCUGAACGCUGGCGGCGUGGCUAAGACAUGCAAGUCGUACGGACCCGCAAGGGUCAGUGGCGAACGGGUGAGUAAUGAAUCGCUAAUGUGCCCCGGACUCAGGGAUAGCCGUUCGGAAGGACGGGUAAUACCUGAUGAUAUAACCUUGUCGCAUGGCAGGGUUCUCAAAGGUCCGCCGGUCUGGGAGCAGGCGAUUUCGAUCAGCUAGUUGGUAGGGUAACGGCCUACCAAGGCGACGACGCGUAGCCGGACUGAGAGGUUGGCCGGCCACAUUGGGACUGAGACACUGCCCAGACCCCUACGGGGGGCUGGCAGUAACGAAUCUUCCGCAAUGCACGAAAGUGUGACGGAGCGACGCCGCGUGUGGGACGAAGUCCUUCGGAUCGUAAACCACUGUCAGGGGUUACCAAGUUCUGAGGAGCCCCAGAGGAAGGCACGGACUAACUCUGCCGCAGCAGCCGC